rnacentral:tRNA from 1 species
UGCGCCUGUAGCUCAGUCGGAUAGAGCAACUGCCUUCUAAGCAGUGGGCCGGGGGUUCGAAUCCCUCCAGGCGCGUAGGCGGACGUAGCUCAACGGUUAGAGCACUGGACUGUGGCUCCAGGUGCUGCGGGUUCGAGUCCCGUCGUCCGCCCCAA